AUUGAACGCUGGCGGCAUGCCUAACACAUGCAAGUCGAACGAGUGGCGGACGGGUGAGUAAUUUCUGGGAAACUGCCUGAUGGAGGGGGAUAACUACUGGAAACGGUAGAUAAUACCGCAUACCAUCAGAUGUGCCCAGAUGGGAUUAGCUAGUUGGUGGGGUAACGGCUCACGAAGGCGACGCUCCCUAGCUGGUCUGAGAGGAGGACCAGCCAAACUGGAACUGAGACACGGUCCAGAAUACUACGGGAGGCAGCAGGGGGGAAUAUUGCACAAUGGGCGAAAGCGUGAUGAAGCCAUGCCGCGUGUAUGAAGAAGGCCUUCGGGUUGUAAAGUACUUUCAGCGGGGAGGCGUUACCCGCAGAAGAAGCACCGGCUAACUCCGUGCCAGCCGCCGCGGUAAUAC
rnacentral:rRNA from 1 species